UGGUAUUAACGUUAUCGGGGAUCGAUCGUUCAAGGAAGCCUUGGACGAAUCUGUGGAUUUUCCAAAUAGGAGGCAACCGAUGGGGAGACUACGUGGUAAUUGCGACAGUUGUAAUUACCAGUGUAUUAACCGUUGCAAAUGUCGAACGAGCCAACCUCGAGCCCGCAAGGUUUCCCCCGUAAAUAGGGGAAGAAGAUUGUCCAAUUAACUGUCUCGUUUAAUUGAAUCUUAUUUCCUUUUCACUUGGUCCAGUUUCAUUGGGGCUUCUGCGCUUUAUCGCGUGAGUCGAAUGUAAUGCACGGCGAGGUCGGAAGCUUGGCCGAAGAACAACCCACGACAAAAGAGGGAUCGAGUUGAACGUCGCGGGAUAUUUUUGGCCAUACUCCCGCCCACUCCAGCCUUCGACAGCUCGCAAAUUGUCGUCGUCGAGUGGCGCGUGAAUAUCGUGGAAACGGACUGUUCUACCGUUUAAUGCUCGUUUAGACGCGCAGGGUAUUCUUUCAAAUUUUUUUCAGACAAUUCGUUUUGCUGUCGGUGGAACGAGGAAGAGGAGCAAGGGAUGAAGAUGAAGGGGGGAGAGAGAGAGAGAGAGAGAGAGCUCGAGGAGAGAAAGGAAGAUGGCAAAGUAGGAAGGAGCAAUUCCUCGGGACGAGGAGACGAGACGAGACGAGACGAGACGGAGGUGAAGGUAUUCUUUUUAAGGCGGAACACUUUACUGCUGCUCGUUCCACGCUGGUAAUGGAGAAUCCCCCAGCCGCCCCAACGAAUUAAUUCGGGGCUAACGCCGAGACACUCCCCGAUAUCGAGUCACUUCGUUCCACGGGCCAGUAUUCUCACGCCGAGGAAGAAUCAAUGGGAUUCCUCUUUCCUCCACACGACGCCCAAAGCACGUGCCAUUCGCCGCAGAAUCCACUUCUCUCUGAAAUUCUUGCCUCGUCGAGCGUCUCCUUUCCUCCAAUGAAAAUUCAGAAGAUUCCAUGGGAAAAUCAAAAAUCAAAAUCCAAGAGAUGGCUUCAAGAGAGUACAGGGUGCCUUCCGAAGCAUCUGUGGAAGCGCGCGCAAAAGAGAUGAGCGUGAUCGGGGCGCGAGGAGAAGAGAGGUUGUACAGAGCAACAGAGAAGGGGAGAAGCGAGAAAGAGAGGGAAAUUCAAAGAUGGCGCCACGCGUGUGCCUGACAGAGACGAGGAACGGGAGCUGAAGCGAGGCAACCGCCUUCGCUUCUUUCCCCUCUCGCGUUUGGCGAAGAGUGACCGGCCCGAAAAGUCCGAAUCCGAUCGUAGAAUGGCUCAGUAGUGCGCGAGACACAUUUCGUGACGCGUGCUCGUCGUUGGUAUCGAUAUCUUUCGAUGAUUCACGAGCAUUGCGACGAGAGUACGCGGCGACCAAUCCCCGGUUCCGUUACAUCAGCAUCCGACUACGUGGGUCCUCGACGAUUGGCUCUCUCUGUGCUGCGUUCGAGUUCUCUCUCUCUUGCACGCGUUACAGCCAGAAUAGGAGAAAAAAAGAUACUCGCAGCUUGUGUUUCCUCGCGGUGCGGCUUAUUCUCGAACUAGAUACAUACUACGCGCAUCGUGUUAUUUGCCGAGGAGCGUGUGCAUUUUCGUUUAACCAGAUUUUCGGUGGAAACGUGGAGAAAAUACGCGUAGAGAGAUUUUCGACGACGAGGAGAAACGCGAGGAAGACACGAGCCAGCAGCCGAGCGACAGACAGAGUGAGAGGAAGGGAAGCUAGAGGGAGAGCAGCAGAGUACGGGGUAUUUUGGACGCAGAUCGAUCGGUCGCUCUCCGGUUCGCGCCAUGUGACCGGUCAAAGACCAGUCUGCAUGGGAUAGGAGGUUAGAAACUUAUUCGGCAUCUUCCGAGUGUAUUGUCGCGUGGCGGUGUGUUUGUUCGUUGAUCAACCGAGAAAAUGAGAUCCGUCGAGUGAUGUAGUAGUGUCAGUAGCGCGUGAGCCAGUGAACGAGGUAGUCGUUUUUUUUCGUAGAGUCCGUUUAUCGGACAUUCGCGGUGGCGGGCUUCGAGGAGCAUGAUCGUGAGGGAAAAGAGAACCGAUUUUACCGCGAAAGAAUGUCGUUGUCUCGGGUCAGAUAUAAAAAUAAAAAGAAGCAGACUUAUGUCUCAAGGC